rnacentral:rRNA from 1 species
UACGUAGGGGUCAAGCGUUGUCCGGAAUUAUUGGGCGUAAAGAGCGUGUAGGCGGUCCGGUAAGUCAGCUGUGAAAGCCCAGGGCUCAACCUUGGAAUUGCAUUCGAGACUGCAUAGCUAGGAUGCGGAAGAGGGAAGCGGAAUUUCCGGUGUAGCGGUGAAAUGCGUAGAUAUCGGAAGGAACACCAGUGGCGAAAGCGGCUUCCUGGUCCAGCAUCGACGUUCAGGCACGAAAGCGUGGGGAGCAAACAGG